ACGAACUCUGGUAUUGAUUGGUGCUUGCAUCAUGAUUUACAUUUGAGUGAGUGGCGAACUGGUGAGUAACACGUGGGAAACCUGCCCAGAAGCGGGGGAUAACACCUGGAAACAGAUGCUAAUACCGCAUAACAACUUGGACCGCAUGGUCCGAGUUUGAAAGAUGGCUUCGGCUAUCACUUUUGGAUGGUCCCGCGGCGUAUUAGCUAGAUGGUGGGGUAACGGCUCACCAUGGCAAUGAUACGUAGCCGACCUGAGAGGGUAAUCGGCCACAUUGGGACUGAGACACGGCCCAAACUCCUACGGGAGGCAGCAGUAGGGAAUCUUCCACAAUGGACGAAAGUCUGAUGGAGCAACGCCGCGUGAGUGAAGAAGGGUUUCGGCUCGUAAAACUCUGUUGUUAAAGAAGAACAUAUCUGAGAGUAACUGUUCAGGUAUUGACGGUAUUUAACCAGAAAGCCACGGCUAACUACGUGCCAGCAGCCGCGGUAAUACGUAGGUGGCAAGCGUUGUCCGGAUUUAUUGGGCGUAAAGCGAGCGCAGGCGGUUUUUUAAGUCUGAUGUGAAAGCCUUCGGCUCAACCGAAGAAGUGCAUCGGAAACUGGGAAACUUGAGUGCAGAAGAGGACAGUGGAACUCCAUGUGUAGCGGUGAAAUGCGUAGAUAUAUGGAAGAACACCAGUGGCGAAAGCGGCUGUCUGGUCUGUAACUGACGCUGAGGCUCGAAAGUAUGGGUAGCAAACAGGAUUAGAUACCCUGGUAGUCCAUACCGUAACGAUGAUGCUAGUGUUGGAGGGUUUCCGUCCUCAGUGCUGCAGCUACGCAUAGCAUCCGCCUGGGGGAGUACGCCGCAAGGCUGAACUCAAGGGAAUUGACGGGG
rnacentral:rRNA from 2 species